GGCCAUAAUCCUCUCACGUACAAAGUUAGGUGACUACGGAAGCGUACGGGCCGAACCCGUAGUCGUUUCCAUUUCCUGCUUUCCCUUUGUUCGCUCUGCGACCACAGGAGGAAGUGAGGCUAGUAAUCUCUCUCCAUGGAUCUUUGAAUCCAUCCUAGGGUUCUUGCUGCUACAUUGGUUCCAUUCUCUGUGAAUGCUGUCCGGACGAUUGACUGGCUCGUAGGAGAUAUGCUCAUUGGCGAAUACUGUCUGGGUCGAGUGCAAGUAUUCUACUUGUUCCUGGUAAGACUAUAGCCUAACUUCAUGGAAACCUAACAGAGUUUUUUGUGAGGUUACUAGGGAGUGCCGCCUCCUGUACAUAAGGUGCUAAAAAGAGGAGUCUAUUCUUGUCACUGUAAUUUAAUAUCUAACAUAGUUGACUCCAAAGUUUUUUAAUCUCUCACUCCUUUUGGAAUGACAAUUAGCUUAGAUGGAUGAUAGGAUCGUUGGAAAACCUGCAUAUAUUAAAUGUUGAGUGUAAUUUAAUCUUUGGUGAUUGGUACACGAGGCCAGGGCUU